UACGGGGGGGAGCAAGCGUUGUUCGGAUUUACUGGGCGUAAAGGGCGCGUAGGCGGCCACCGCAAGUCGACUGUGAAAUCUCCGGGCUUAACCCGGAAAGGUCAGCCGAUACUGCGGGGCUAGAGUGCAGAAGGGGCAACUGGAAUUCUCGGUGUAGCGGUGAAAUGCGUAGAUAUCGAGAGGAACACCUGCGGCGAAGGCGGGUUGCUGGGCUGACACUGACGCUGAGGCGCGAAAGCUAGGGGGAGCAAACAGG
rnacentral:rRNA from 1 species